ACUCCUACGGGAGGCAGCAGCUAAGAAUCUUCCGCAAUGGGCGAAAGCCUGACGGAGCGACGCCGCGUGAACGAUGAAGGCCGUGAGGUUGUAAAGUUCUUUUCGGGAGGGAGAACAACCGUGGCAGGGAAUGGCCGCGGGAUGACGUGAAUCCCGGAAUAAGCCCCGGCUAACUACGUGCCAGCAGCCGCGGUAACACGUAGGGGGCGAGCGUUGUUCGGAAUCAUUGGGCGUAAAGGGCGUGCAGGCGGCCCUGCAAGUCCGGCGUGAAAGACCCCGGCCCAACCGGGGGGACGCGCUGGAAACUGCAGGGCUUGAAUACAGGAGGGGAUGCCGGAAUUCCAGGUGUAGGGGUGAAAUCUGUAGAUAUCUGGAAGAACACCAAUGGCGAAGGCAGGCAUCUGGCCAUGUAUUGACGCUGAGACGCGAAGGUGCGGGGAGCAAACAGGAUUAGAUACCCUGGUAGUC
rnacentral:rRNA from 1 species